GAUGAACGCUGGCGGCGUGCCUAAUACAUGCAAGUCGAGCGAACGGACGAGAAGCUUGCUUCUCUGAUGUUAGCGGCGGACGGGUGAGUAACACGUGGAUAACCUACCUAUAAGACUGGGAUAACUUCGGGAAACCGGAGCUAAUACCGGAUAAUAUUUUGAACCGCAUGGUUCAAAAGUGAAGGACGGUCUUGCUGUCACUUAUAGAUGGAUCCGCGCUGCAUUAGCUAGUUGGUAAGGUAACGGCUUACCAAGGCAACGAUGCAUAGCCGACCUGAGAGGGUGAUCGGCCACACUGGAACUGAGACACGGUCCAGACUCCUACGGGAGGCAGCAGUAGGGAAUCUUCCGCAAUGGGCGAAAGCCUGACGGAGCAACGCCGCGUGAGUGAUGAAGGUCUUCGGAUCGUAAAACUCUGUUAUUAGGGAAGAACAUAUGUGUAAGUAACUGUGCACAUCUUGACGGUACCUAAUCAGAAAGCCACGGCUAACUACGUGCCAGCAGCCGCGGUAAUACGUAGGUGGCAAGCGUUAUCCGGAAUUAUUGGGCGUAAAGCGCGCGUAGGCGGUUUUUUAAGUCUGAUGUGAAAGCCCACGGCUCAACCGUGGAGGGUCAUUGGAAACUGGAAAACUUGAGUGCAGAAGAGGAAAGUGGAAUUCCAUGUGUAGCGGUGAAAUGCGCAGAGAUAUGGAGGAACACCAGUGGCGAAGGCGACUUUCUGGUCUGUAACUGACGCUGAUGUGCGAAAGCGUGGGGAUCAAACAGGAUUAGAUACCCUGGUAGUCCACGCCGUAAACGAUGAGUGCUAAGUGUUAGGGGGUUUCCGCCCCUUAGUGCUGCAGCUAACGCAUUAAGCACUCCGCCUGGGGAGUACGACCGCAAGGUUGAAACUCAAAGGAAUUGACGGGGACCCGCACAAGCGGUGGAGCAUGUGGUUUAAUUCGAAGCAACGCGAAGAACCUUACCAAAUCUUGACAUCCUUUGACAACUCUAGAGAUAGAGCCUUCCCCUUCGGGGGACAAAGUGACAGGUGGUGCAUGGUUGUCGUCAGCUCGUGUCGUGAGGUGUUGGGUUAAGUCCCGCAACGAGCGCAACCCUUAAGCUUAGUUGCCAUCAUUAAGUUGGGCACUCUAAGUUGACUGCCGGUAACAAACCGGAGGAAGGUGGGGAUGACGUCAAAUCAUCAUGCCCCUUAUGAUUUGGGCUACACACGUGCUACAAUGGACAAUACAAAGGGCAGCGAAACCGCGAGGUCAAGCAAAUCCCAUAAAGUUGUUCUCAGUUCGGAUUGUAGUCUGCAACUCGACUACAUGAAGCUGGAAUCGCUAGUAAUCGUAGAUCAGCAUGCUACGGUGAAUACGUUCCCGGGUCU
rnacentral:rRNA from 1 species